UCCUCGUUAGUAUGGUGGUGAGUAUCCCCGCC
rnacentral:piRNA from 2 species